GUAAGUACAAGGCGCUAAGGAGACUACACACGUAAGACGCCGUUACCCGGAAGGAGGCAACAGCUACACGUAAGACGCCGUUACCCCGGAGCUCAGAAUGCCUUGCUGCCAGAAACAGUUGUGAUGCCUUUAGGGAAAAUGUCAGACCGCCAGCCAGCCUGGUGUACUGACUCAAGCCUAAGGCUGCUCCUUUAGGGAACAGUCAGAUCUGCGGGCGCCUCUCUUCUACCAGCCUACACACCAUCCGCCGCUGUCUGGGAAGUGAGGACAGGAAGUUGUCCCUGACUUCUUUUACAGGCUUACUUGUUGAGCUUGUGAUCGUCCUGUCUCAGCUCUGUGAGGAGCAGAUGGUACAGCCAUGCACCGCUAUGCCCAGCUAGACACUGUUGACAUAAAACCCAGAGCAAAUGAGUCCUUCGAGGCCAACAGAGUGCACGAGAUCACCCGAACCUGGAAUUACAGGUGGCUGUUCCCUGCCUGGGAUGGCUACUGGGAACUGAAUGAAGCACUAAAACCACUGAGCCGUCCCUCCAGUACCAGUGAUUAACACUAGCUGCUCUUCCGGAGGACCAAGAUUUGAUUCCCAGCACACACAUGAUGGCCUACAACCUUCCAUCAACUCCGGUUCCAGGGAUCGCACACCUUCUUCUUUUAGCCUCCAUGUGCACUGCAUUCACGUGGUACACAGCCAUAUAUACAGGCAAAAUAAAAUGCUCAUACACAC